AACGUAGGACGCGAGCGUUAUCCGGAAUUACUGGGCGUAAAGGGCGCGUAGGCGGCCUUGUCAGUCAGACGUGAAAUCCCGAGGCUUACCCUCGGAAGUGCAUUGGAUACUGGCGGGCUAGAGUCCCGGAGAGGAGGGUGGAAUUCCUGGUGUAGCGGUGAAAUGCGUAGAUAUCAGGAGGAACACCGGUGGCGAAGGCGGCCCUCUGGACGGUGACUGACGCUGAGACGCGAAAGCGUGGGGAGCAAACAGG
rnacentral:rRNA from 1 species